rnacentral:rRNA from 1 species
GAUGAACGCUGGCGGCGUGCCUAAUACAUGCAAGUCGAGCGAACAGACGAGGAGCUUGCUCCUCUGACGUUAGCGGCGGACGGGUGAGUAACACGUGGAUAACCUACCUAUAAGACUGGGAUAACUUCGGGAAACCGGAGCUAAUACCGGAUAAUAUAUUGAACCGCAUGGUUCAAUAGUGAAAGACGGUUUUGCUGUCACUUAUAGAUGGAUCCGCGCCGCAUUAGCUAGUUGGUAAGGUAACGGCUUACCAAGGCAACGAUGCGUAGCCGACCUGAGAGGGUGAUCGGCCACACUGGAACUGAGACACGGUCCAGACUCCUACGGGAGGCAGCAGUAGGGAAUCUUCCGCAAUGGGCGAAAGCCUGACAGAGCAACGCCGCGUGAGUGAUGAAGGUCUUCGGAUCGUAAAACUCUGUUAUUAGGGAAGAACAAAUGUGUAAGUAACUAUGCACGUCUUGACGGUACCUAAUCAGAAAGCCACGGCUAACUGCGUG